AGUGAACGCUGGCGGUAGGCCUAACACAUGCAAGUCGAACGGCAGCACAGUAAGAGCUUGCUCUUACGGGUGGCGAGUGGAGGACGGGUGAGGAAUACAUCGGAAUCUACUUUUUCGUGGGGGAUAACGUAGGGAAACUUACGCUAAUACCGCAUACGACAUACGGGUGAAAGCAGGGGAUCUUCGGACCUUGCGCGAUUGAAUGAGCCGAUGUCGGAUUAGCUAGUUGGCGGGGUAAAGGCCCACCAAGGCGACGAUCCGUAGCUGGUCUGAGAGGAUGAUCAGCCACACUGGAACUGAGACACGGUCCAGACUCCUACGGGAGGCAGCAGUGGGGAAUAUUGGACAAUGGGCGCAAGCCUGAUCCAGCCAUACCGCGUGGGUGAAGAGGGCCUUCGGGUUGUAAAGCCCUUUUGUUGGGAAAGAAAAGCAGCAGGUUAAUACCCCGCUGUUCUGACGGUACCCAAAGAAUAAGCACCGGCUAACUUCGUG
rnacentral:rRNA from 1 species